rnacentral:rRNA from 1 species
CUUUACUGCAACUUGGCAGUGAAACUCGAAUCAUUCUGCGUAGGAUAGGUGGGAGGCUUUGAACCCGGGGCUCUGGCUUCGGGGGAGCCAACGUUGAAAUACCACCCUGGAUGAUUUGGGUUUCUAACCUGCGUCCGUGACCCGGACGAGGGACACUGCCUGGCGGGCAGUUUGACUGGGGCGGUCGCCUCCUAAAGUGUAACGGAGGCGUGCGAAGGUUCCCUCAGCCUGAUUGGAAACCAGGCGUAGAGUGCAAAUGCAUAAGGGAGCUUAACUGCGAGACCGACAGGUCGAGCAGGUGCGAAAGCAGGCGUUAGUGAUCCGGUGGUCCUGUAUGGGAGGGCCAUCGCUUAUCGGAUAAAAGGUA